rnacentral:rRNA from 1 species
UGAGGGAAUAUUUGGGGUCAAUGGGCGCGAGCCUGAACCAGCCAAGUAGCGUGAGGGAUGACUGCCCUAUGGGUUGUAAACCUCUUUUGAUUGGGAACAAAGAGCGCCACGUGUGGUGCGUUGCGUGUACCUUUCGAAUAAGCAUCGGCUAAUUCCGUGCCAGCAGCCGCGGUAAUACGGAAGAUGCGAGCGUUAUCCGGAUUUAUUGGGUUUAAAGGGAGCGUAGGCGGGAGAUUAAGCGUGUUGUGAAAUGUAGUGGCUCAACCUCUGCACUGCAGCGCGAACUGGUCUUCUUGAGUACGCACAACGUGGGCGGAAUUCGUGGUGUAGCGGUGAAAUGCUUAGAUAUCACGAAGA